rnacentral:rRNA from 1 species
AGGAUGUGGAAUUGCACAGACAACCAGGAUGUUGGCUUAGAAGCAGCCACUCAUUUAAAGAGUGCGUAAUAGCUCACUGGUCGAGUGAUCCUGCGCCGAAAAUUUCCGGGGCUAAAACGUACUACCGAAGCUACGGCAUCAUUUAUGAUGGGUAGGGGAGCUUCGUAUGCAGGCUGAAGCAUGACCGUAAGGACAUGUGGACAGUAUACGAGUGAGAAUGUUGGCAUGAGUAGCGAGACGUGGGUGAGAAUCCCACGGGCCGUAAACCCAAGGUUUCCAGGGGAAGGUUCGUCCGCCCUGGGUUAGUCGGGACCUAAGCCGAGGCCGAAAGGCGUAGGUGAUGGACAACAGGUUGAUAUUCCUGUACCGCCAAUAAGCGUUUGAGAGAUGGAGUGACACAGUAGGAUAAGCUAACCGUACUGUUGGUUAUGUACGGCUAAGCAUUGAGGCAGUCUAAAUAGGCAAAUCCGUUUAGACAAUGCUAGGAUGUGAUGGGGAAGCCCUUCGGGGCGAAGUAGCUGAUUUCACACUGUCAAGAAAAGCUUCUAUCGAGUUUAAAGGCGCCCGUACCGUAAACCGACACAGGUGGGUGAGGAGAGUAUCCUAAGGCCAGCGAGAGAACUAUUGUUAAGGAACUCGGCAAAAUGACCCCGUAACUUAGGGAGAAGGGGUGCCUGUCUAUGACAGGCCGCAGAGAAUAGGCCCAAGCGACUGUUUACCAAAAACACAGGUUUCUGCUAAGUCGCAAGACGAUGUAUAGGAGCUGACGCCUGCCCGGUGCUGGAAGGUUAAGGGGAUCUGUUAGAGCAAUCGAAGCAGUGAACUUAAGCCCCAGUAAACGGCGGCCGUAACUAUAACGGUCCUAAGGUAGCGAAAUUCCUUGUCGGGUAAGUUCCGACCCGCACGAAAGGCGUAAUGAUUUGGGCACUGUCUCAACGAGAGACUCGGUGAAAUUUUAGUACCUGUGAAGAUGCAGGUUACCCGCGACAGGACGGAAAGACCCCAUGGAGCUUUACUGUAGCUUGACGUUGGGUCUUGGUACUACAUGUACAGGAUAGGUGGGAGACUAUGAAGCAUGGACGCCAGUCUGUGUGGAGUCAUCCUUGGGAUACCACCCUUGUAGUACUGGGAUCCUAACCAUAGGCCUUGAAUCAGGUCUUGGAACACCGUCAGGUGGGCAGUUUGACUGGGGCGGUCGCCUCCUAAAAAGUAACGGAGGCGCUCAAAGGUUUCCUCAGCACGGUCGGAAAUCGUGCGAAGAGUGUAAAGGCAAAAGGAAGCUUGAUUGCAAGACAUACAGGUCGAGCAAGGACGAAAGUCGGACUUAGUGAUCCGGUGGUACCGCAUGGAAGGGCCAUCGCUCAACGGAUAAAAGCUACCCUGGGGAUAACAGGCUUAUC